ensembl:lncRNA
GUUUUCUCUCCCACCAGGUUUCUGUAGAGCUACCGUCCUGUAGGUUUUUAGUCCAACCCUGUUACUGGAGAGCUACCAUGUUGUAGGUUUUCACUCCAACCCUGUUCCCGGAGAGCUACCGUGUUGUAGGUUUUCACUCCAACCCUGUUCCCGGAGAGCUACCAUAUUGUAGGUUUUUAGUCCAACCCUGUUCCCGGAGAGCUACCGUGUUGUAGGUUUUCACUCCAACCCUGUUCCCGGAGAGCUACCGUCUUGUAGGUUUUCACUCCAACCCUGUUCCCGGAGAGCUACCGUCUUGUAGGUUUUCACUCCAACCCUGUUCCUGAAGAGCUACCGUAUUGUAGGUUUUCACUCCAACCCUAAUCUAGCGCACCUGAUUAUAAUAAUUAGCUAGUUGAUAAACUAAAUCAGUUUAGUUACAAAUGGGGUUGGAGUGAAAACCCUUUGAGGGUUGGAGAGCCCCUGUACUCGAUCAGGGUUUCCCAAACUUGUUCCUGGCCCCCUGGGUGCACAUUUAUUUUUUUGCCUAGCACUACACGGCUGAUUCAAAUAACCAAUUAAUCAUCAAGCUUUGAUUAUUUGAAUCAGCUGUGUAGUGCAAAAACUACACGGCGCCCUGGACCGAGAUUUGGAAACUCUGUACUAGAGAAAUAGGUCAAUACCAUGUAGAAUACAUGUCAAAUACAAAUAAUAUGUCAAUAGGAAAAAGUAACUAACUUCACCUCAAGCUGUUUAUGACAGUACAUUUCCUGUUCCAACUUGUAUUUCCACAUACACAGAUGUGAAAUAGGCAUGAUGGAAAGACCCAUGUGAGCAUUACAAUAACUUCACCCCUUAAGGGAACAUCAGGGGCUUUCUCCAGUUGUAGUCACAGUGUGAAUAGUGAAACUAGUGUAACGUUAGUAUAGUGUAAGGGGAAAACAUUGUUCGUCUUUCACAUGGAUGAACUGUUUCUGCAUUCAUCAACACUACUCUCUCAUUGCCGAACCAAUAUCUUUCACUUCCUCUAACAUAGUGUGUGGUU